AGAGUCAGCGCAGGCAGUUGCGGGCUGUGGGCACUGCCUAUCAGCCUGAGGAAAGUCCGGACUCCCGAAAGACCAAACCUGCUGGAUAACGCCCAGUGCGAGCGAUCGUGAGGAUAGUGCCACAGAAAAAUACCGCCAAGAGCAGUUUGAGUGACUCAUUCAAAACGUUUUUGGUAAGGGUGCAAAGGUGCGGUAAGAGCGCACCAGCAGCAUCGAGAGGUGCUGGCUCGGUAAACCCCGGUUGGGAGCAAGGUCAAAGAACAACGGUUGGUCUUUUUCCCGUUCUGCGUGAUAGCGGUGGAUAACUGCCGUUAUAGAGAGCCGCUUGAGGCAUUUGGUAACAGAUGUCCCAGAUAGAUAACUGCCCUUUGAGUGCGCUCAAAGAACAGAACCCGGCUUAUGUCUGGCUCUUCUC
rnacentral:RNase_P_RNA from 2 species